CCGCCUCGCGAAAACAUUCAAAACAAAAACACUCGAAACGAAAAAUUUGUUAAAUUGUGAUAUUAUACACAAAAUAAAAUAUUCACCACCGCCUCGUUUGCCAACAUCGUCUUUACAAGGAAUGUCCAGCAGUGCAUGACAGAGGCCGGUCACUCCCAUUAAGUCCAGGCAGCUGAAGAGCCUUCCCAAAGACAGUUCAUAGGACAAAAUGCAGUUACACAGAUUUUAACGGUGUUGGAAACAAUCAGAGAUGAGAACAGGGAAAUGAAGCGGAUGCUGCAGCGGCUCUUGGCGAGGUCAGCUACUGAUGACGAGCAAAUGCAACUGCCAGAGAACAUCAGUCUUCCAAUUGGAACAUUUGAGUAAAUGGAUGAGUUUGAAGAGCAUCUUGGUGAUGAAGCUACAAUCCAUCUUUUCUAGGACUGCUGCAUAGUUCAAGCUUUUUUAUCAAAUAUAUUAAGCAAUGUUGUAAAUGUAAUUGACAGUUUUUUCUCCAUUGAUCCUAAACCAUUCCUUUAAGGCUCAUCUUCUAAGAAAGCAUACAAUCUUUUUUUAUCUGGAAAUGAAACGGUAUAUAUUCCUUUGCAAAAGAAGAAACAGCAUUCCAGUUUUUGAAGGUUUUAAAAGACAUAUAUAUAUAUAUCAUGUGCAGUUACGAAAAACACUAGAAUGUAUGAAGAUAUCAAAGAUAAUAAUGUGGACUUGUUCUCGAAAAAGGAUUUGCCAUUUAUUUGAGUUUUGGAUUUUUCUGCAGGGUUUUUAAUUUGUAGUUUAUAAAAUAUUUGGUUUAGUCUCGCAAGUAUGUUUUCUACGAAUGUUCUUUGAGUACAUGGUGUGUUAUUUGUAUUGCUUAAAGAUUUAAUAUGCAUGGGCAGAGCUCCAGAUAAGGUUUUGUGAAAUUCUUAAAUUACUACCAGAUUUUCAAAAAGAAUUCUUAACUCUGAAAUUUUAUUCUUAACGUUACUACUAAGUUUUGGAAAAUAAUUCUUAUUUUUUGUAAAUGACCUAAAAAUAAAUAAUAAUGGUUAUUUUCAUGCAAAAAAAAAUCAAAAUAAACAUACUAGCAACUUUAUUUAUACUAGUUCAACAGUGUCUUUUCAGUAUUAUACAAUUUUAUUUUUCAAAAACCUUCAUAUGCCCAAACUGCUCAGAUUGCAUGCCUUAGAUGAAUUUUUACAUAUUUCACAAUUAAAAUGGGUCUCCCCUUCAAUCUUUUCAACGAUUAGCCACGGGACUUGUCCCUUCCACUCGUUCAAUGUUUUUUGUGUGUUUAAGUUUGGACCCAUCGUGUCGCAUUUUUGUUUAGCUUUUCUGACUGUGUCGGCAACUGAACAUACAACAUCAUAUAAGAUCUUUUCUAUAAUGUCUUUCUAAACAUUUAACUUUGGCUCACUUUGUGUACAAUAUGUUAAACGCGUGUUUUUGGACGCUUUGCAGUUUUUUAGGACGCUCUCUGGGCGCUGCCAUUGUUUUUUGACAGAUAGACUGUAUACGCCG